UGUGUGUGUGUGUGUGUGUGUGUGUGAGUGUGUGUGUGUGUGUGUGUGUUCAUAUUUAAGAUCUCUUCUUCAGAGUCACUUCUGCAUUUCUCUGUUUUUCUCUCUCAGAGAAGUUAGAGGAAGGUUGAUAUUUAUUCAUCUAGUCGUUUAUUUCCUGAGGCUGUGAAUUACAGAUUAAUCAGUUUUAAGAUGUUUCGUGUCGAACUUUAAUCACUGAUCCUGAACCAGCAGACGGUCACAAACAUCUUCAUUACUGAACUCAGAACAGCUUCAAUAUGGAACCAUAAGGAGAUUCAGAUGCAGAACCUGUUAGUGUUUCAUCAUGAGAUCACUUUAUGGAUUUAGUCCUAAUUGAUUCAUUUUGCUUUAAUCUUAAUAACAUUAACGAAUUAAACAUUCUUUAUCACUAGGAAUAAAUGGAAAAAACCUGUUAAACCUGAAAGUAUUAUGUAAUUAUGAGUAUUAUGAGUCUAGACCAGGACUGAUGCUCGAGGACAAACGCUGAAGCUGCUGUGAAACGAUCAGUGGAGAUAGAGCCGACUCGACCUGAUGAAGAUCGUUCAGGUGAGAUCUGAGGCUUUGACUCUGGGUUCGUUUUACUGAAUCAUGUUUUCCACACUGUGUUCUGCUUCACCAGAACUGAGCCGCGGCCAGAAGCUCUGACGCAGAGAGUGUGUGCGUCCGUCGCUCAUGAUGUUCAGGGUCAGUAAAUGGAGAGGUGGAAUCAUUCUUGCCGUCCCACCCAAACAGAGCUGCUGUUUCUCAUGCCCUUCUCUCGUCUGGCACGGGAUUAUGGGUAGGGCUCUGCUCCGGGACUGUGUGUGUGUGUGUGUGUGUGUGUGUGUGUGUGUGUGUGUGUGUGUGUGUGUGUGUGUGUCUGUGUGUGUGUGUGUGUGUGUGCCCAACCCAACGCCUACACGACCAAUCCUGCCUUACAAACGCAAACGCCCGUUACGCCCAGCUUUCCUUUAAAGUCACAGAAUCGGAUCGUCUGCCAGGAAACUAAAUCAUUUUUAAAAGGAGCAGGUUAAUAUUCUGGGCCUGUUUGAGGAAGAGUUAGUGAUUGUGUUUGAUGAAGUUUCCCAGCUCAGUUCGAGCACUAGAGAUCUGGUUCUGAGUUCUGUCUGUAACUCCAUCAGCUCUUCAUACGUUCAGACGAUAGACGACAAUUUCUCUGCUUCAGGUUUUCAUAAAAGCCAAUGAUUUGACAGUGUGUGUGUGUGUGUGUGUGUGUGUGUGUGUGUGUGUGUGUGUGUGUGUGAUGGAGCUGAAGCUGUAGACAGUGACUCAUGACAUGAAACACAGCUUCCAGUAGGCAGGAAGGAAGUGUUCAGUGUCCACAGGAAAUGAAUCAGUGCUGAGAGCUUUGAGCAUGUGCAGAUUUCCGGGUUCAGGAUCCGACAGGAACACUCUCUUUAGCCGUUAGUGGAUCAGCUGGUUAGAUUAGUUUAAGUAUGUGUGGAUGGAGAGGAAUCAAACACUGUGUUUUCAGAAUUGAUAUUGUGCCUUUAUAUACAGCAUACGAUCAUAAACUUGCAUGUGGCAUUAUAUUAAUAUCAUUUUACCAAAAUCAGUUUUUGACCAGCGAAUGUCGUGUUUUUUCCGUCAUUAGAAUAGUAAGAGCAUCAACUUACAGGUUAUAAAGUUUGUUUGUAUCUAUGUGGGCACUCAGUUUUUCUGUCAUUUGGCCAAAAUCUCAUGCUAUAAAAACUAUAAAAACAUCUGGCUGUGACUCGACGACAAAUGCCAGACUAAGACACUCUCCUCCGCUCCUCAAUAAUGCAUUAGGCUUUAUAUAAGUGUUUCUUGAGUACAGAAAACGCUAUACUUUCUUCGCAUUGCAGACAAGCAGAGAAGAUGCGCACGACUGCGACUCCUCGCUCGAGAUAGAGGAGGGGUGGAGUUAUGAAGUUUGACUGACAGUUUUAGGAGCCAAUGGAGUUACGAGGUUUAGUCGCAAGCUCUUUUAAAACUUUUCAUUGGUGGAAUAUUUGCAAAACCCACAGACGGGCGUAAAAGGUGACCAGCAGUAACGAUUUAUGGAGGAAAAAGCGAAAUAUACGAGGUUUUCACAUCACAGUGUAAAUCCUGAUAUUGAAUAUUUAAUAUGGAAUGUAUUAAAAUGUAAUAUUGCAAUACGGCGUUUAAAAGCUAAAUAAAGGCGAAGCACUUUGAAGCUCAUAUAGUAUCUGGCCAUUUAAAAAGCUUUGACUACCCAUAAUCCCUGGCUCUUCAAUAAUUGAAUUUGCUGUGUUUGGUCAAAACAAUAGGCAGUUAUGUUUGUUUUUACGUCAUUUUUUUUCUUUUUAAUAAAGGUUAAAACAUGAAAAGUUGCAGGAGGAACGUCUGUGUUCCUUAUUUCCACUACAAUGACUUUCAUCUUCAUUAAACUAAAUUCAUACAGCGGUUAAUUUGUUUAUUGAGUGGAAAUAAAACUCUCAGUGAAGUUUACUGUGUCACCAGCCAGAAGCUCUUCAGAAAGCCUCGACCUUCAGCACACACAGUCACAGCAUUCACAGUUUGACUGGAUUUUAAUAGAUGAUGCUGAUGAUGAGUCGAAGAGGAUGAAGGUUUAUAACCUGGUGAAGGUGGUUAUGAAGCGCUCUGAAGGCAGGAGGGUUUCAGGACGAGCAGAUCUGAGUGAGAGGAACAGUUAAACAGUUAAAACAAGAGAUUCAGACUCACGAGACGGACCUCAGACAGACAUCAGUCCACUGCAUCCAACAACACACUGCAAAAACUGAUGAUCCACAGUGUUUUCCAGCACAAAUAUCUAAACAUUCUUCAAUCAAGAUACAUUUACUGGAGAAGAGAAAUGACUGAAGAUGUUAAGAAUAACAAAUGAUCAAAAUGAAGGCUCUGACGGCAGCAGUGGCAGCAGUGAGCUCUCUGAUUGGCUGAGAGCGUCAGCGAGUGGGAGACUGACUCAUCAGAGGUGGGCUGAACAAACGCUGACGCAGAGAGAGAGAGAGAGAGAGAGAGAGAGAGAGAGAGAGGGUCGUGCUCACAGUGAGCUGCAGCUCGUUUUAUCUGAUAUCACAGCUGACAUUUAGAUCCUCCUCUCCUCAAUCACAGCGCUGUGUUCUGGGGGAUGUGGAUACCUGCUGCCUUCACAUGAGCCAGAGGACUGAACCAGAAGAAGACGCCCUUUCUUUCUUGAUUUUCUUUUAUUUGUUUGUCAGUUCUGUCCUCAUUUACUCCUCCUCACCGUGUUCAAACCCGAUGACUUUCUUUCCUCGGUGCAGCACAAAAUCAGAAGUUUAGCAGAACGUUCACGCCAUACAGUGAUGACAAAAAACGCCUUUUUAUCAUUAAUGCAAUUCAUCUGUGCUUUAGUUUUGAGAAUAGAUAUGUUUUACUAGUGACACUUUAUAAUAAGAUCCCAUUCUUAAACAUUAGUUAAUGCAUUAGUUAACAUGAGCAAAAUAUUUUCAACAAAUGCAAAUUUUCAUUGUUUUUUCACAGUGCAUUAACUCUGAAACCUUAUUGUAAAGUGUUGCUGUUUCACUUAGUUUUACUUGUGUCGGUCCAGAGAUGUUUUCAGUGUUUCCUGUCCUCUGCAGCUGGUCAGAGACUAGUUAUCCUGAGUAAACAGCAUUCUCUGAGCUCUUCCUCAGUUCUGAAUCAGUGUCAGGUAUGUGAGGAAACAUGCAGCGAGAGCCGGAAAGAGCAGGAAAUGUCUGCAGAAUUCCAGUGUGAAUCACUCGGAUCUUUAUCCGUGUUAAACUGCGAUUCUUGUACCUUCACGCAGUGAAAUGCUGUGGGAGAAGAAGGUGGACGGGAUCUGGAGCGAAUGUGAAUGUGUCACACGGGCCGAACCGAGCCUCUCGCUGAUGGUCAGAUUCACCGGACUUGAAGAGGACAAACUCUGAGAUCCUACAGUCGCGUCUGUCCGUCCGUGAGUAACGCUUCACAGCGGCAGAUAUUAAAGCAGUGACGUCAUGAUGUGAGACCCUAAUGAGAUGAGGUAAAGGUCACAUUAAUAGACGGACAGUCACUUCCUCCUGUUCAUUCAAACCAUCUCAAGCUGUGAUGCUCUGUGCCUUUAUUCCAAGAAAGUAAUUUUAGGACAUAUUCAGUUAUUGUAAAAUCAUAUGCACUUAAUAUGAUAAUGAUUGCAGAUACUGAGAGAAGCGAGAUGACAGAUAUUCCUUUGUUAAUGAUUGCAACAUUAGAUUCAUGUGAGAGUCAGCUUUAUUUCUACAGCGCUUCAUGCAGUACAGACUGAUUCACAGCAGCUUCACAGAAAUAAACCGAAUCAAUGAUGCAAACAUCAAAUAUGAGACAAAUUCAAUUUCAGCUGUAAAGCAGCUCUAAAAACACAAAAGAGUCAUUAUUCAGAUCCGUUCAGUUUGUGUGGAUAUAUUUACAAGGUUUGGGGUCAACAAGAUUCAAAAGAGACUGAUGCUUUUAUUCACUAAAGAUGCAUUAAAUUGAUCAAAAGUGACAUUAAAGACAUUUACAAUGUUGCAAAAGAUUCUAAUUUCGAAUAAAUGCUGUUCUUUGAACUUUCUGUUCAUCAAAGAAUCCUGAAAAAUAAAAUGUAUCACAGUUUCCACAAACAUAUGAACUGAUUUCAACAUUAAUAAUAAUCAUAAAUGUUU